CAUGUACUCCCUCCGUUCGGAAUUACUUGUCUCGGAAAUGGAUGUAUUUAGAACUAAAAUACAUCUAGGUACAUCCAUUUCUGCGACAAGUAAUUCCGAACGGAGGGAGUAGUAG
rnacentral:pre_miRNA from 1 species